GGGUCCGUAGCUCAAUGGUUAGAGCCGACGGCUCAUAACCGUCUGGUUGUAGGUUCGAGUCCUACCGGACCCACCA
rnacentral:tRNA from 1 species